rnacentral:misc_RNA from 1 species
GACGUAGGUGGCGAACGUUAUCCGGAAUUACUGGGCGUAAAGGGUCCGCAGGCGGUUAGCCAAGUCGGGUGUGACAAUUCUCGGCUCAACUGAGAGAGGCCACUCGAAACUGGCUAACUGGAAUCUGACAGAGGUCGGUGGAAUUCCCGGUGUAGUGGUGGAAUGCGUAGAGAUCGGGAGGAACGCCAAGAGCGCAGGCAGCCGGCUGGGUCAAGAUUGACGCUGAGGGACGAAAGCGUGGGGAGCGAACAGG